CCUACGGGGGGCUGCAGUGAGGAAUAUUGGUCAAUGGGCGGAAGCCUGAACCAGCCAAGUAGCGUGCAGGAUGACGGCCCUACGGGUUGUAAACUGCUUUUAUACGGGAAUAACGCGCCUUACGUGUAGGGCUUUGCAUGUACCGUAUGAAUAAGGACCGGCUAAUUCCGUGCCAGCGGCCGCGGUAAUACGGAAGGUCCGGGCGUUAUCCGGAUUUAUUGGGGUUAAAGGGUGCGUAGGCCGAAUGUCCAGCGUGCUGUGAAAUGUCAGGGCUCAACCCGGUACUUGCAGCGCGAACUGGCGUGCUUGAGUCCGCGGAAAGUAGGCGGAAUUCGUGGUGUAGCGGUGAAAUGCUUAGAUAUGACGAAGAACCCCGAUUGCGAAGGCAGCUUGCUGCAGCGGAACUGACGCUGAUGCUCGAAAGCGCGGGUAUCGAACAGGAUUAGAUACCCUUGUAGUC
rnacentral:rRNA from 1 species